AUUGAACGCUGGCGGCAGGCCUAACACAUGCAAGUCGAACGGUAACAGGAAGCAGCUUGCUGCUUUGCUGACGAGUGGCGGACGGGUGAGUAAUGUCUGGGAAACUGCCCGAUGGAGGGGGAUAACUACUGGAAACGGUAGCUAAUACCGCAUAACGUCGCAAGACCAAAGAGGGGGACCUUAGGGCCUCUUGCCAUCGGAUGUGCCCAGAUGGGAUUAGCCAGUAGGUGGGGUAACGGCUCACCUAGGCGACGAUCCCUAGCUGGUCUGAGAGGAUGACCAGCCACACUGGAACUGAGACACGGUCCAGACUCCUACGGGAGGCAGCAGUGGGGAAUAUUGCACAAUGGGCGCAAGCCUGAUGCAGCCAUGCCGCGUGUAUGAAGAAGGCCUUCGGGUUGUAAAGUACUUUCAGCGGGGAGGAAGGGAGUAAAGUUAAUACCUUUGCUCAUUGACGUUACCCGCAGAAGAAGCACCGGCUAACUCCGUG
rnacentral:rRNA from 1 species